rnacentral:snRNA from 1 species
CGCCUAUUUUUGGAGGGCUCUC